UACAGAGGCCUCAAGCGUUAGGCGGAAUCACUGGGCUUAAAGCGUGUGUAGGCGGACUUCUAAGUACCUUGUGAAAUCCCACGGCUUAACUGUGGAACUGCUUGGUAUACUGGUUGUCUUGAGCCACUCAGGGGCGAGCGGAACAAAUGGUGGAGCGGUGAAAUGCGUAGAUAUCAUUUGGAACGCCAAUGGCGAAAACAGCUCGCUGGGGGUGUGCUGACGCUGAGACACGAAAGCCAGGGGAGCGAACGGG
rnacentral:rRNA from 1 species